CAGGUUAAGCAACUUCUACAUUUAUUUUUCUAAUUUCAUAUUAAGGUCUUUUUGGGAAAUACACUGUGAUUUUUGCUUAACAUAUGCCAUUGUUCAUUGACUCUUUCUGAUGGUCAGAAAUGAGUUUCCUUUGACUAUUCAAAAACAAAUGGUCUGGAGAGAGAACAUAUGAACAUAAAUACCUGAGCAUAUUAUUCAAAUAUCCCUGCCAUUAUGUGCAAUAGUAAGAAGUACUAAUAGCAGAUAAAAGUUCAGCUAUACAUUUGCUGAAAUCCAGGUAACUGAAAAUGAUUUAUUAAGGUGAAAUGGUUCAUGAAUGGCAAACUUGCAAGGAAUAAAAGGCACAGAGGACUAUGGAACUAUUUUUGUGUACAAACGUAAUAAAAUCCUCUAAAAAUAUUCAGAAUAAAAAUUUUAAAAUGUAAAUACAUUACACAUAUACAUCAAUCCUAGUAGUUAAAGUAGAAGAUUCAAAGCACAUAAAAUUUAAUAGAAAGAGAACUUUAUUCUAAAUAACAUUCUUAAAUCUGCCCAUUAAGAGCACAGUAAACAUUUAACAGUUUUUGUUUUAUUAAUGAAAUUAGAUUUUUACAUACAAAAUCAGCUAAGUAGGUUGGGUGUAUUCUGGAACCUGAAUCAACACGACUAAGUGGAGUUUGUGGUCACAGAGGAUUUGUCAUUUUUCUUCUUUGCCCUUAUGAAAAUACAUUAAUAGAAAAUUACCAAUGGAAAAUAUUUUAAAAUUUGUUAUAUUCCUAUCAACUUUGACAUUGCUUAGCAAAUUUAUUAAUUUCUUUCAAUCAAUGUUAAUACUUUGU
rnacentral:lncRNA from 1 species